rnacentral:rRNA from 1 species
UUAAGCGACUAAGCGUACACGGUGGAUGCCCUGGCAGUCAGAGGCGAUGAAGGACGUGCUAAUCUGCGAAAAGCGUCGGUAAGGUGAUAUGAACCGUUAUAACCGGCGAUGUCCGAAUGGGGAAACCCAGUGUGAUUCGUCACACUAUCGUUAACUGAAUACAUAGGUUAACGAGGCGAACCGGGGGAACUGAAACAUCUAAGUACCCCGAGGAAAAGAAAUCAACCGAGAUUCCCCCAGUAGCGGCGAGCGAACGGGGAGCAGCCCAGAGUCUGAAUCAGCUUGUGUGUUAGUGGAACGGUCUGGAAAGUCCGACGGUACAGGGUGAUAGUCCCGUACACCAAAAUGCACAGGUUGUGAACUCGAAGAGUAGGGCGGGACACGUGGUAUCCUGUCUGAAUAUGGGGGGACCAUCCUCCAAGGCUAAAUACUCCUGACUGACCGAUAGUGAACCAGUACCGUGAGGGAAAGGCGAAAAGAACCCCGGCGAGGGAGUGAAAAAGAACCUGAAACCGUGUACGUACAAGCAGUGGGAGCACCUUCGGGUGUGACUGCGUACCUUUUGUAUAAUGGGUCAGCGACUUAUAUUCUGUAGCAAGGUUAACCGUAUAGGGGAGCCGCAGGGAAACCGAGUCUUAACUGGGCGUUAAGUUGCAGGGUAUAGACCCGAAACCCGGUGAUCUAGCCAUGGGCAGGUGAAGGUUGGGUAACACUAACUGGAGGACCGAACCGACUAAUGUUGAAAAAUUAGCGGAUGACUUGUGGCUGGGGGUGAAAGGCCAAUCAAACCGGGAGAUAGCUGGUUCUCCCCGAAAGCUAUUUAGGUAGCGCCUCGUGAAUUCAUCUUCGGGGGUAGAGCACUGUUUCGGCUAGGGGGUCAUCCCGACUUACCAACCCGAUGCAAACUACGAAUACCGAAGAAUGUUAUCACGGGAGACACACGACGGGUGCUAACGUCCGUCGUGAAGAGGGAAACAACCCAGACCGCCAGCUAAGGUCCCAAAGUCAUGGUUAAGUGGGAAACGAUGUGGGAAGGCACAGACAGCCAGGAUGUUGCUUAGAAGCAGCCAUCAUUUAAAGAAAGCGUAAUAGCUCACUGGUCGAGUCGGCCUGCGCGGAAGAUGUAACGGGGCUAAACCAUGCACCGAAGCUGCGGCAGCGACACUAUGUGUUGUUGGGUAGGGAGCGUUCUGUAAGCCUGCGAAGGUGACCUGUGAGGGUUGCUGGAGGUAUCAGAAGUGCGAAUGCUGACAUAAGUAACGAUAAAGCGGGUGAAAAGCCCGCUCGCCGGAAGACCAAGGGUUCCUGUCCAACGUUAAUCGGGCAGGGUGAGUCGACCCUAAGGCCGAGGCCGAAAGGCGUAGUCGAUGGGAAACAGGUUAAUAUUCCUGUACUUGGUGUUACUGCGAAGGGGGGGACGGAGAAGGCUAUGUUAGCCGGGCGACGGUUGUCCCGGUUUAAGCAUGUAGGCUGGUUGUCCAGGCAAAUCCGGAUAAUCAAGGCUGAGGUGUGAUGACGAGGCACUACGGUGCUGAAGUAACAAAUGCCCUGCUUCCAGGAAAAGCCUCUAAGCAUCAGGUAACAUCAAAUCGUACCCCAAACCGACACAGGUGGUCAGGUAGAGAAUACCAAGGCGCUUGAGAGAACUCGGGUGAAGGAACUAGGCAAAAUGGUGCCGUAACUUCGGGAGAAGGCACGCUGGUGUGUAGGUGAAGUCCCUGCGGAUGGAGCUGAGACCAGUCGAAGAUACCAGCUGGCUGCAACUGUUUAUUAAAAACACAGCACUGUGCAAACACGAAAGUGGACGUAUACGGUGUGACGCCUGCCCGGUGCCGGAAGGUUAAUUGAUGGGGUUAUCCGUAAGGAGAAGCUCUUGAUCGAAGCCCCGGUAAACGGCGGCCGUAACUAUAACGGUCCUAAGGUAGCGAAAUUCCUUGUCGGGUAAGUUCCGACCUGCACGAAUGGCGUAAUGAUGGCCAGGCUGUCUCCACCCGAGACUCAGUGAAAUUGAACUCGCUGUGAAGAUGCAGUGUACCCGCGGCAAGACGGAAAGACCCCGUGAACCUUUACUAUAGCUUGACACUGAACAUUGAGCCUUGAUGUGUAGGAUAGGUGGGAGGCUUUGAAGCGUGGACGCCAGUCUGCGUGGAGCCAACCUUGAAAUACCACCCUUUAAUGUUUGAUGUUCUAACGUUGGCCCCUGACCGGGGUUGCGGACAGUGUCUGGUGGGUAGUUUGACUGGGGCGGUCUCCUCCCAAAGCGUAACGGAGGAGCACGAAGGUUAGCUAAUCCUGGUCGGACAUCAGGAGGUUAGUGCAAUGGCAUAAGCUAGCUUGACUGCGAGCGUGACGGCGCGAGCAGGUGCGAAAGCAGGUCAUAGUGAUCCGGUGGUUCUGAAUGGAAGGGCCAUCGCUCAACGGAUAAAAGGUACUCCGGGGAUAACAGGCUGAUACCGCCCAAGAGUUCAUAUCGACGGCGGUGUUUGGCACCUCGAUGUCGGCUCAUCACAUCCUGGGGCUGAAGUAGGUCCCAAGGGUAUGGCUGUUCGCCAUUUAAAGUGGUACGCGAGCUGGGUUUAGAACGUCGUGAGACAGUUCGGUCCCUAUCUGCCGUGGGCGCUGGAGAAUUGAGGGGGGCUGCUCCUAGUACGAGAGGACCGGAGUGGACGCAUCACUGGUGUUCGGGUUGUCAUGCCAAUGGCACUGCCCGGUAGCUAAAUGCGGAAGAGAUAAGUGCUGAAAGCAUCUAAGCACGAAACUUGCCCCGAGAUGAGUUCUCCCUGAGACUAUAAGUCUCCUGAAGGAACGUUAAAGACGAUGACGUUGAUAGGCCGGGUGUGUAAGCGCAGCGAUGCGUUGAGCUAACCGGUACUAAUGAACCGUGAGGCUUAACCUU